rnacentral:rRNA from 1 species
UACGUAGGUGGCGAGCGUUGUCCGGAUUUACUGGGCGUAAAGGGAGCGUAGGCGGACUUUUAAGUGAGAUGUGAAAUACCCGGGCUCAACUUGGGUGCCGCAUUUCAAACUGGAAGUCUAGAGUGCAGGAGAGGAGAAUGGAAUUCCUAGUGUAGCGGUGAAAUGCGUAGAGAUUAGGAAGAACACCAGUGGCGAAGGCGAUUCUCUGGACUGUAACUGACGCUGAGGCUCGAAAGCGUGGGGAGCAAACAGGAUUAGAUACCCUGGUA